CGGUCACAGAUGUAGGCAGGCUGAGUGAGAGUGAUAUUGCCAACAUGGAUGACAUUGUUCAGUUGAUGGGUCCUGUCAAAAUGGCAACCACUGUGAUGUGUGAAGAAGACCAGCCAACUCUCUCUGUAAUUGCUCCUCUUCAAGCAAAACUGCUGAAACACCUGCAGCCAUGCGAAGACGACUCAACCCUGGUUGCAGAGAUGAAGAGGGUGAUGGCCGAUGACCUCUCCACACGCUACAGAGGCACCCAAGAUGCUCUCAACAUAGCAUCAGCGUUGGACCCUCGAUUUAAAGAACUGCCCUACCUGGAAAAAGAGGACAGAGAACAGGUUUACACAAAACUGGUUUUUGAGUUGCAGAAGUGUCCCACCAGGUAACUCUUCUCUCCUCUUUCCUCUGCCCUUUUUUCUCUUCUCCCCUUUCAUUUAUCCUCUCUCAAAUCUCAUCUGUUCUUUAUCUUCCUCUAAAUUUCUGUGUGCAGUCUUAAAGAGCAGAAAUUUGAACAGUUCACACAUUCUUACAUCAAUAGAUGCAAGCAACGGGAAAUCAGGAGGAAGACGAGGGAAGCUCAAGCACAAAGCUGUCACGAUUCAAUGAAGAGACCACAGCUCCAAAUGAGUCACCUCCUUGUAAGAAGAAAGCCUUAGAUGCACUGUUUGGCGAUUCCUUCACCCAAAGAGAAAGAAAAUCCACAAGCGAGACAGCCAGAGCAGAGGUGUUAAGGUACCGAGCAAAAGAUGCGUUGCCUUUGACUGAAAACACCAUGAAGUGGUGGAGAUCUCAGGAGAAAGAGCUACCUGUACUUUCAACCCUUGCUGAACGGUACCUGUGCAUUCCAGGCACCAGUGUGCCAGCAGAGCGAGUUUUUAGUACUGCUGGUGACAUAGUGAACGCACAGAGAAGUGUUCUGCGGCCAGAUCAUGUUGAUCAGUUGAUAUUUUUGAAAAAAAAUCUGUAGAGUCAUUGAAGAGUAGUUGGUUACACUUGAUCUUUUGUUGAAUAUUGUUUGUUUAUUAAAAUGAGUAGUAGCAGGUUCAGCCACGGCUCAUUCAACCUGAAGAAAUGUUGGUUGCACUUUAUUUUUGAUAUUAAUACUGUAUUUGUAUUAUUUUUAUGUUGAAAAACAACAGCAGAAGUAGCAGGUAAACCUACUGUUGAAAUGUUGGUUGCACUUACUGUACUUUUAUUGAAAAUGUAUUGAAUAUUGAAAAUGAGAGCAGAACAUUUUAACUUCCUGUUAAUUCAACCUAAAGUGUUGGUUGCACUUUAUUCAAAUAAAAUGUGAAUGCAUUUGCCAUUAAUUGUUGUUUACUUGUUUGUUUAUAUCCAUAAUUAAUUGAUACCUGAUUCCCUUACAAGAAACAACAGGAAUCUAGGAAACUUCACCUGCACUGUCCAGUAUCCAGGUAUUUAUUUCAGUCACACUGGUUGAAUUUUUGGCUAAAAAGUUACUGAAUCGAUUUCAAGUCACUGAAUCGUAUCGACAACCAUGAAUCGUGAUACGGAUCGAAUCGUUGUUAAAAUGAAU
rnacentral:lncRNA from 1 species